GCCCGUAUAGCUCAGUGGCAGAGCGUCUGUCUCGCAAACAGAAGCACAGGUG
rnacentral:tRNA from 1 species